GUGCUUGCUUCGAAGGCACAUAUACUAAAAUUGGAAAGAUACAGAGAAGAUUAGUAUGGCCCCUGCACAAGGAUGACAAGCAAAUUCAUGAAAGAAAAAAAAAAAAA